rnacentral:rRNA from 1 species
AGGACGAACGCUGGCGGCGUGCUUAACACAUGCAAGUCGAGCGGAAAGGCCCUUCGGGGGUACUCGAGCGGCGAACGGGUGAGUAACACGUGAGCAACCUGCCCUUAGCUUUGGGAUAACCCUCGGAAACGGGGGCUAAUACCGAAUGUUCACUGUCGGAUGCAUGUUUGACGGUGGAAAGUUUUUUCGGCUUAGGGAUGGGCUCGCGGCCUAUCAGCUUGUUGGUGGGGUAAUGGCCUACCAAGGCGACGACGGGUA